rnacentral:rRNA from 1 species
AUUGCACGCUGGCGGCAGGCCUAACACAUGCAAGUCGAACGAGUGGCGGACGGGUGAGUAAUGUCUGGGAAACUGCCUGCUGGAGGGGGCUAACUACUGGAAACGGUAGCUAAUACCGCAUACCAUCAGAUGUGCCCAGAUGGGAUUAGCUAGUUGGUGGGGUAACGGCUCACCAAGGCGACGAUCCCUAGCUGGUCUGAGAGGAUGAUCAGCCACACUGGGACGGAGACACGGGCCAGACUCCUACGGGAGGCAGCAGUGGGGAAUAUUGCACAAUGGGCGCAAGCCUGAUGCAGCCAUGCCGCGUGUAUGAAGAAGGCCUUCGGGUUGUAAAGGACUUUCAGUCGGGAGGCGUUACCGGCAGAAGAAGCACCGGCUAACUCCGUGACAGCCGCCGCGGUAAUUC